GAUACAAGGAGGCGACUUUGUUAAAGUCAUACAGCGGCAUCAACAUUGAAUUGAGACUGACCUGGGUGUCAGUGACUUAAAGCUUCCUUUGACAAUCCAGACACUUAGAAAUAUCAGAGAGGAUGGACAGACUCCACUCCCUGGAUCCUUCUUGUCUCGCCUCCAUCAGGACCUUGAUGACUUGGAGUCUACAACAUACAGCACAAGGAGGAGAUGGCUAGGAGAGGUUGAGCGGUCCAGCAUGU